UUUGCCAUGUUGGCCAGGCUGGUCUUGAACUCCUGACCUCAGGUGACCCGCCCACCUCUGCCUCCCAAAGUGUGGGGAUUAUAGGCGUGAGCCACUGCACCUAGAUGUCAGUUUGAUUCUUAUGACGCCACUUCCCUUCUUUAUACAUCCCCUUCCCCACAUCUUGUUUGGUAUUUAAUGGAUUUCUCUUCUUUUCCAAAGGAUCUACCGCUACCAGUCUCAUGACUAUGCCUUCAGUAGUGUCGAAAAAUUACUUCAUGCUCUAGGAGGAGAUGACUUCCUUGGAAUGCUUAAUCGAACACUUCUUGAAACCUUGCAAAAGGCCGGCUUCUCUGAGAAGUUCCUCAAUGAAAUGAUUGCUCCUGUUAUGAGGGUCAAUUAUGGCCAAAGCACGGACAUCAAUGCCUUUGUGGGGGCAGUGUCACUGUCCUGUUCUGAUUCUGGCCUUUGGGCAGUAGAAGGUGGCAAUAAACUUGUUUGCUCAGGGCUUCUGCAGGCAUCCAAAAGCAAUCUUAUAUCUGGCUCAGUAAUGUACAUUGAGGAGAAAACAAAGACCAAGUACACAGGAAAUCCAACAAAGAUGUAUGAAGUGGUCUACCAAAUUGGAACUGAGACUCGUU
rnacentral:sRNA from 1 species